rnacentral:tmRNA from 1 species
GACUUCGCGCAUCGAAUCAAGGGAAGCGUGCCGGUGCAGGCAAGAGACCACCGUAAGCGUCGUUGCGACCAAAUAAGCGCCGAUUCACAUCAGCGCGACUACGCUCUCGCUGCCUAAGCGACGGCUAGUCUGUCAGACCGGGAACGCCCUCGGCCCGGACCCUGGCAUCAGCUAGAGGGAUCCACCGAUGAGUCCGGUCGCGGGACUCCUCGGGACAACCACAGCGACUGGGAUCGUCAUCUCGGCUAGUUCGCGUGACCGGGAGAUCCGAGCAGAGGCAUAGCGAACUGCGCACGGAGAAGCCUUGAGGGAAUGCCGUAGG